rnacentral:lncRNA from 1 species
AAAGGAACUCCUGCUUGUCUGGAAAGUUGCUUUGUUUUGUUUUUAAUUACACAAAAAAAGAUGGAAACCAAAUCCUUCAAUUUUCCUGUUUUUUUUUUUUUAAACUAGGUGAUAAUAUAUGUUCAUCAUAGUAUUGUACUUUUGUAUUUUUUGUGAAACUUCAUAAUAAUCAGUCAGCUUGCACUUGAAAUUAUAUUCUUAAGAGCAUUUCUGUUAUUUACAUUAUAAA